UUGAUGAAUAACUGCAGUUGGGUUUUCGAAGUCUCUUCUAAUAAUAGUUUGAAUAAGUGCCAUCUCUACUGCCUUCAAGAGCCUCUUUUGCAUCUGGAGUUAGUUGUCAUCUUCUGGAGUUACUUCAGGCUGAUAAAGGGAGUAGAGAAGGCCCUGCCUAGCAGAGUCCAGACUGCAGAGGGGAAAUGUGUGACUUGAAGAUGAUGGCAGCGGUAUGCAGGGCCUUCUGAGAUUCAGAAUCAGGUAGGAGUUGGUAUUCAGGUUGAACAAGAGUUUGGAAGUUGAUGUCCUGGAGCCUAGAAGAGACAAAGCUCAACAAAGAUUGAUAGAUGAUUCCACUUUUGCUGUUUAUGACUGGGGGGAAUUCCCUCAUUGCCUAAAACAACCUUGGUACACAGGAACUUUCCAGUACAUAGGCAAGGCAAUAAGUUGUCAAAUGAGAAGUAACUUCUUUUUACUAGGACCUACCAAUGUCUGAUGUCCCUCUCUUUGUGGCACGAGAGUGGAGAAAAGUGCAAGGAUGGAGACAGGAGAGAUGGAGACCUUUCUUAGGACAGGGAGUUCCUCCCUCUGUCCAAUUGUUAGCAACUAUUAGCAGCUCCAUAAAUAUACUGGAAAAAAAUUUGUAUGACACCUAGUCAUUUAAAAAAUUCUAAACUAUAUUUAAAAAAGCACACAAAUGAAGACAUAAAGGAUUUUAUGCUAAAAUCAUUCUUAAAACUUUUGCUUUAAAAAAAAUUAUAAGUACCAGAAGAUGGCAGUAUCACUAUAGGAUAGGCUUAAUACUAAAUUUUAAGAGAAAAAAAGAAAACUAAAAAGUAGUAACUGUUUUUUAAGAAGCUCACAGUCUACUGAGGUAAAAAUAUGAAAACAACUUAUAAAAGGAGAAAUUAGAUAUUGAAAUAGUAAGGCAUAACAUAUAUGUAUAAUAUAUAUAUAUAUUAUAUUAUAUAUAGUAAAUAGAGGGAAAACAUAGGUAUUAACACAAUCAGCAAAGGCUUCUUGACAAAGGUGGGAAUUUAACUGUGAUCUGAAGUUAUGAGAAAUGAAAAUUAAUAACCAAUAAAUUGUGAAGUGAUUCAGAGCUCUUGGUGGGAAUGGUAAUUUAGUUUCCACAGAGUUAUCAAAAUUGAAUUAGAGAAAUACAGAGAAAUGAAACAAAUUAGGAAAUUGAAACAGAAGAAUUGGAAAUUAGAUUGCUAGGAUAUGAAUGAGGAAAUAAAAAUUAAAAGGGAAAAAGUAAUGGGGGGGGGAUCAGACUUGCAAAUGUUUCUAAGCAGAGGUGGAGAAUACUUACACUUGAGGAUGUAGUUGUAUUGAUGAGAUCAGAGGAGGAGACUUAGGAAAACAUGAGAGAAUUAGAAUUUUCCGAGAUGAUACUAUUCAGCCAAUAGGGAAACAGAGUAAGAGCUUAACUAUGUUCAAAUAAAGAAGAAGCCAUGGAAGCAAUUGUGAUGGAAUCAGGUAGAGAUUCACAUUCACAUGGGGAGAAUAUUCACUCUUAAUAGGUUGUGACUUCUGGUACGCAACAAAUGGGGCAUCUAAAGAAGGACUUGCAUUUUGGAUAUAAAAAAGGACAGGUAUUGAUUCCAAGUUUGAUAGGAUACUCAUCUGCUGUUGUGUAAAGACUUUUAAAUCUAUCCUUCCCCAAAUCCAAUGAGUUAUUUCUCCUACUUUCUUCGAAAGUCCUUUAAAAGUUCAGUUCUUCACAAGGAAAGUACUUAUGAGAUUGCAGUAACUCUCCUCAAUGUCAGGCAGACUACACCCAACCUUAUAAAGAAUUUAAUCUAAAUUUGGGAAACCUGUACUGUUCUGCUCAUGCUUGGCUUCAAGAACACAAAAAAGGAUGAGGAGAAAGGAAACCUUAAGAGCAAGCAAGGAAGUAAGAG